GUACUACCUGUGACAGUUCCAGAUCUCCCUGUACUACCUGUGACAGUUCCAGAUCUCCCUGUACUACCUGUGACAGUUCCAGAUCCCCCUGUACCUGGACCCUCUGUAUCAGCCCGCCCACCUGUACGUGUACAAUCAGACCCCUUUGAUAGUGACAGUGACCCAGAUGACCCUGAGCCUUUCCAUGGUUUUGAUGCCUCGCCCUAUACAUCAGAUCUAGAUGUUCCCUCAUCAGUUGAUACGAGUAUCACCUCUCCAGAGCCCAAAUCAGUUGAUACGAGUAGUAUCACCUCUCCCAUUCCUUCAGACUCCCAAGCACCUGCCCAUCCCACUCCAUAGCCCAGCCACCCACUCUCAUGUACCAUAUGGCCAUCCCAGUAAGCAAGCCAACCACUAGAAUUUGACUGGCAUGCACCUGUGACUUACAUAAACCAGACCUCUACAUAGCCUACAUGUCUUCAUUUUGCUGAAGACUGCCCAUCAUCCUAGCCUGUUAUCUGUGAUAAAGCACACUGAAGUUAGGUUUGGAAUGCAUCCUUAUCAUGAAUGCUCUACACCUCCACCUCCAUCUCCCACAACCUAGGUAACAGCUUUGAGACUCACUAAAAGUUGAGUCCCCUGAAUGAUGUAGGCUAUGGGGCCACAUAAGACUUUGUCCAUCCAGGGUUACAUUGAACGACAACUUUAAACUAAAAAACCAACAUUUUUCACACAACUCCAGGUUGUUACUAACAAAUUACUACUACAAGUGUCAUCAAGGGAUAACUACAAGUAGAAGCACCAUUUUUGGAUGGAAAAAACCCUUCAGGAAAGUAUACGUAUCACAUGUAACAUGUAGUGUAACAAAGUAUGAACAGUAAGGUUUUUACAUACAGUAGUAUUACAUACGUACAUAACUUUUUUUUUACAGGAAUUUCCAACCAAGUUUGAUUAUGUACAUACAUGUUAUAAACCACUGUACGUAUGGUUACUGUAUGUAACUUACUAAACAUACAUAACAUGACUUAACUUUGAUACUUUUUUGGUACAUUCCAGAAAACCAGGACCCCCUCCAUGAUGCAGGCUAUGGGGCCACAUAAAACUUUGUCCAGGGUUACUACAUAACAUAAAGAACCCCCUGAAUGAUGUAGGCUAUGGGGCCACAUAAGACUUUGUGCAUCCAGGGUUACAUAGCACAACAACUUUAAACUAAAGGUAAGGAAUUAAUUAACAUACAUUAACUAAGUUUUAUACAUGUUAUAUAUGUGAUAUUAAACC